UGUGUAAAGCUUGCAGUGCCCACUGGCCCCCUUGCCGGCGCGCGCGUGCACCCGAAGGUGCGCGCGUUGCCGUCAAGGGGCUCAGCGGCGGCCGCCUCUUUGCCGGCGAUGGGGCCCAAACGACGGCGCACGGCGGCGCCAUCCCCAGCCGACCCAUCCUCGGUGAGUUUCUGUUGGAGUUAGGGUUUUUCUUUUUCAUUUUGAUCUUCUUUUCUCCUUUUUCUUUCUUUUUUCCGACGGAUCUACAAUCCUAGAACUCUGGCUUUGAUACCAAUGCGAAAACUGUAGGAUCACUAGGUGUAGAUCAACCGGGGUAGGGACAGCUUUUCUGUGGUUCGAGUAGUGGAUUCGGGACGAGAACAGAAAGAGAGAGAGAGAGAGAGAGAGAGAGAGACGGAAGGGGAAGAGUACCUUCUCCCUGGCUUGACGAUGCGGCAGUGGACGACAUGAUGGCGAGCGGCGGCGAGGGAGAGACGGCGGGGGGCGACGGCAUGGACGGAGCUUCCCGUCGCCUCUGCGCAACCCUAGAUCGGUAGGGGAUGUCGGUUGGGUCGGUGGCAAACGCAGCGAACUUCGUGGUGCGUGCCCCGGCCUCCCACCUCUUUUAUAGCGCAGCGCGACAGGGGCCCGCUAACCAUAUUGGUUUGGGCGCCCCCAAUCAGGAUGCGUCAGAUCUACGGAAAUUGUCACUCUAACAUGUUACGCACUGAUGGGUUGCGCACGGCAAAAUGCUACACGCGCGCGUUCGGCUGGGGUGGUCUGAAAUAUGAAAUGAUUGAGUUUGUUGAUUCCAGUCUUGAGCACUGCUACGGAAAUUUAGAAGAAGCCUUUUUAAAUUUACAAGUCUAUACAUCUGGUUCGCCGUCGUUCUGAACCAUAUUGUUUCUUUUCAAUUAGUAAAUAUUCAUGGGUUUAACCGCCGGGGGAAAGACCUCCCACAGGGUUUAGGUUAAAGAAGAAGAACUACUCACACAGGUUU
rnacentral:lncRNA from 1 species